CAUUCAGUCAGUCAAUUGUCAGUCAGUCAGAUUUGCUCUUCAAGGUGAUGGCUGUUGGCAGGAAUGAAUUUUUGUAUCUCUCCGUUCGACAGCGAAGCUGAUGCAGUCUCCCACUAAACACACAUCACUGUUGAUUCUUCACUGUGUUGUGGAGAGGGUGGGAAGAAUCCUCCAUCAUCUUUAUCAUCUUCAUCAUCAACACUG